UACAGAGGGUGCAAGCGUUAAUCGGAAUUACUGGGCGUAAAGCGUGCGUAGACGGUUGCGUAAGUCAGAUGUGAAAGCCCCGGGCUCAACCUGGGAAUUGCAUUGGAAACUAGCGGGCUGGAGUGUGGCAGAGGGGGGUGGAAUUCCACGUGUAGCAGUGAAAUGCGUAGAGAUGUGGAGGAACACCGAUGGCGAAGGCAGCCCCCUGGGCUAACACUGACGCUCAUGCACGAAAGCGUGGGGAGCAAACAGG
rnacentral:rRNA from 1 species